rnacentral:sRNA from 1 species
UUGUGUUAAGGAUAGAAACGGCAUCCUUUUAUUUUUUUAAAAAUAAAAGAUAUAGUGGAUAGCCUGACUUUUG